GGCGGUUCUCAGGUGACGCACCCCAGAAUUAGGCUCCCUCCUCUCUUGUUCCAGGUGCAUCACCCAAGAACCACC
rfam:Myotis brandtii contig321159, whole genome shotgun sequence.